AAAUCAACAGCUGAGUGGGGCAGAUCGAGCGGGGAGUCUGCUACGGGUAAGGUGAAAAGUGGAAUCCGUGUCUGGGUAUCGUCAUGCAGUUUGACUUUUUAAUUUGCGGUGGGAGAAAAAACGUGGUUUGCUGUCUGAGGAUCUGAUAUUCGGACAAAACUCAAACUCAAAUACGAGGGUCGAAGAUCUCUGGAAACCCGAAUAAUAUUUGGUGAAUUGUUUCAUUUGCAUUUGCAUUUCCUCUGUUUUAAUAUAUAUCGACAAUUUUAUGUUAUAGGCUUCACAAUAACGAAGUAUAUUGUCUCCUUAAAACUUAAGUUUUCUUAAUUUUCAGGGAUGGAUUUGAAGCGAUUGUAGUGAUUUUUUGUUAAUAGAUGUUUUCGUCGCGAAAUCUACACACAUAACCAAAUUCUAUGAGACUCUUAGAUCCUAUAGCUGUAGAGAUUAAAAUACGGAUAGGCUUAGAUCGGAUGGAGAUCGAGAAAACACUCUGGUACACACUUCAGAGGGUUUUAAGUACUUCACUCGCCCUGUCUCAUACAUAACGUAAACCAUUUACGACUGUAAUAUACCUUUUCUGCUCCUAGGUAUACCGAAAACCGAAGCUAAAUAAAAGUGUUGUCGUGACAAAGUCGUUAGAAGCUGCCGCCCCAUAAUAAUAGAUAGGGAGGAGGUCUCAAUAAGGGUUUAUUAUACUGUCCAACGAUAGACAUGCACACACAUGGCCAGCCAGUGUCGCCACACAUACAGCGAACGAAAUUCGCGAGAACAAUUUUAAUGUAAAUAUUUAUUUAUAAGAGGCACAGUGCUGUUGUUGUUUUCUUGCAAAGAGCAGCACAGCAAAGAGAGAGAGAGAGAGAGAGUCAGUAAGAGCGGAAGAGAGCGACACGUUGUGGUGAUGACCACAUCAUACCGGUAAAUUGAUGUGAAAUAUACAUAUACUGAACAAAUGA
rnacentral:sRNA from 1 species